rnacentral:rRNA from 1 species
AUGCGACCCCAGGAUGGGCGGGGUGACCUGCUGAGUUUAAGCAUAUCAAUAAGCGGAGGAGAAGAAACUUACAAGGAUUCCCCUA